UGAGAUGAAGAUGCAUAUGUUCUGU
rnacentral:piRNA from 1 species